rnacentral:rRNA from 1 species
UACAGAGGGGGCAAGCGUUGUUCGGAAUUACUGGGCGUAAAGGGCUCGUAGGUGGCCAACUAAGUCAGACGUGAAAUCCCCAGGCUCAACUUGGGAACUGCGUCUGAUACUGGAUGGCUUGAAUUCGGGAGAGGGAUGCAGAAUUCCAGGUGUAGCGGUGAAAUGCGUAGAUAUCUGGAGGAAUACCGGUGGCGAAGGCGGCAUCCUGGACCGAGAUUGACACUGAUGAGCGAAAGCUAGGGGAGCAAACAGG